rnacentral:lncRNA from 1 species
ACCAGCCCUGUGCUGGAGAACUCUGGUUUCAGGGCCGCUACUUACCAUGGUAGCUCAUGGCUGUGCUCUUUCUUUCUUCCUUGUUCCACUUCACAACAUCUCACACAGGACAAAAACAGAGCAGAUAUGUUCAGAUCCUCUGAUGUUAAUUGAGGCCACUUUGCUUUUUGAGAAAUACAAAAUUUGACCCCAAAACAUCCAUCCAGAUUGUAUACAGAGUCUAUAGUGACCUCUCCAAUAUGACCUCCUGCUUUAACAGAAUCAGUUCAGGUUCUGGAUAUUUUCACCAAUCUCAAGUUAGCUGUAACUGCUGGAGUUUUCAUCAAUUCAGAUACAAAACCAUUUACUUUCUUUGAUUUCAACAAUAAGAAUCACAAAACUAGAUCUUACAUACAAAGUACACCUCACUAAAUUGGGGGAUUGGUAAAUAAAUUAAAUUAAAAGGGGUUAUUAUCUAUUGCCAUUUAUAUAUUUCCUUGUAACCAUUUCCAAUCUUGGUACCCAUCCCUCAUCCGAUGGUGCUUGGCGCUCCUCUGUGCAAAUGUCCUCUCUUCUAUUUCCACAAAGGCAAAAUGCUGUUUUCUAUAUUUAGGAAUACUAUCAACUUGUUGUUACUGUUGCCAUUACUUCAUAGUCACCUACUCAUAUGUACAGUUUCUAAACUAAAAAAUGGCAAGAAACUUGUCAAUGAAGACAAUUCCAUGUGGAAUUUUAGGCGUGUUUCUUUUUCUGCAGAGUAAUUGACUGAUUCUCAAAUUUUACGGGGCUAGUUUAGGCACUUAGUAAAAAAUCAGGACGGAUGCAUAAUAGCCAAAUGCCAAAACAGGCCAGCUUUAGCCAGCGUGAUAAGGAAGUCCUCUAUUCU